AUUGAACGCUGGCGGCAGGCCUAACACAUGCAAGUCGAGCGAGCGGCGGACGGGGGAGUAAUGUAUGGGGAUCUGCCCGAUAGAGGGGGAUAAAUACUGGAAACGGUGGCUAAUACCGCUUACUAUCGGAUGAGCUCUCAUGUGAUUAGCUACGAGGUGGGGUAAAGGCUCACCUAGGCGACGAUCUAUAGCUGGUCUGAGAGGAUGAUCAGCCACACUGGGACGGAGACACGGCCCAGACGCCUACGGGAGGCAGCAGUUGGGAAUAUUGCACAAUGGGCGCAAGCCUGAUGCAGCAAUGCCGCGUGAAUGAAGAAGGUCUUCGGUUUGUAAAGUACUUUCAGCGGGGAGGCGUUACCCGCAGAAGAAGCACCGGCUAACUCCGUGCCAGCAGCCGCGGUAAUUC
rnacentral:rRNA from 1 species